CAAAAAGUGAAAGUAAAACUGACUGCCAUGAAAACACAGCGCAAGCCUGCUAUCCUUGGGUCCCUCAAUCUUUAUUUAUGUUAAGGAUGUUUUCUGUAUAUUUAUGGAUGUAUUCAUUGAAAUGCGUUUUACUAUGGAAUAUGAUCUUCUCACUGCAUUGAAGUGGUGACACUCCUCUUCUCAGUCACGACACUCCCUGGCCAGAGGCCCACACUGCAGCCCUAGGAAAAGUCACGUGAUUUACAAGAAAUCGGACCUGCAGCUCAGAGCAGCAGUCACAGCCUGCUACAGACAACAACAACUUUAGAUGUCUGAGCUUGUCCACUGAGAUUGUUUUAUAGCAGCAUCCUGUAUGACGAUUGUAUUUUAUUACUCUCAGUUCAACCUUCGAUUUAUCAAGUCAGAGGGAGAGUGAAGAAAAGUUCAAGGUUGUAAUUUGGAUACCUUGUAUGAUAUCUUGCUUAUACAAAAAUAGUUUAUUUGUGGUUUUGUCUUUCACUGCUCCUACUGUAACUCUUCAUUCUGGUUUCUGCACGUGAUUCUGAUGUUUCAAGACUUAAGCAUGUUAGACCAAAGACUGUAGGUAAUUGUAGGAAUUUCUGGUUUGAAAUUGCCCUCUGCAGAGCUAGAGUUCUUUUGGUUGUUGAGCAAAGUGUAUAUGCAACAUUGGCUAAAUUGCCACAAGGAUGGGGGGAAUUUCCCACUUUGGGCAGCAAAACAGUACAACUCCUCCUCUUUCUCAAUUUUAAAACAGAAUGGGGUGUGUCUUUGGUGGUUUAUCAAUGUGUCAUUCCGGUCAUUCAUGCCAUGACCAAGGAAGUCAGUUCGUUAACUAAUGCCCCAAUCACGUGCUAGUCGGAACUGGUUAACUCAAAGAUGUCCGACAUGCUAACUGGUUGUAGUUAUGCAUGUGCCGUUAUGCAUGUGCCGAGUUCCCUAGUUCCGACUAGCACAUGAACACGGUUUAAGCUAGCCACUUGUAGCUAGCCUGUAACUCCUCCUGUAUGUUUUGGGAUUUGUUUUUGUAAAAAAGCUAUAAAGAUUGGUAAAAAAAAAAGUCACUUCUGUAGCCAAUUAUCUUAUUCAUCCAUUUUUUUCAUUCUUAAAAGUCUCUUGAAGCACAUG
ensembl:lncRNA